rnacentral:lncRNA from 1 species
CUCAAAAUAAAAAAGGCUGGGAUAUGGUUUAGUAGUAAAGUGCCCCUGGGUUAAAUCUCUAGUAACAAACAGAAGAACCUGGGUUAUCCUCCCCUUUUCCUUUGAGCAAGGCUCCUUAAGCAAUUGUGUGGGCUUGAAGCCUGUUCUCUAGUAAGAGUGAGUUAGCUUCCCCAUCAGAAUUCAAACAUGAGAAAGAAUCUUGAUUGAUUAUAUUCAUGGUCUUUUGCAGAUAUUCUAACAACUUAGUUGAAUGAAGUCAUGAAGUUUUUUUUUAAUCUGUGUAGUUGAAAUAUAAUUGGAAUUAUCCUGACCAUUUAUAGGAGAAUACACAAAGAUAUCUAUAAAAUAAUAAUAUAUCAGUUGUUCAGGCUAUGAGAGGACAUAAAAUCUUAUUUACUCUGGUCUAAGUCAUGCUUAUAGCCAUUGCCCCUCCUUGUAUUCUAUUUUGUAGUUUAGGAGAAGGUACCUCUCUUAGUUUCUGAGUGGAAGAUAAAUACUGGGCUAAUCAGGAUGGAAAUAACCAUUUG